rnacentral:rRNA from 11 species
GAGACCCUCUCGCCGAAAGUCCAAGGGUUCCUGCGCAAUGCUAAUCAGCGCAGGGUAAGCCGGCCCCUAAGGCGAGGCCGAAAGGCGUAGUCGAUGGGAACCAGGUUAAUAUUCCUGGGCCAGAUGGAAGUGACGGAUCUCGAGGGUAGUUCAUCCUUAUCGGAUUGAAUGGGCUGCUUAGAGGUUCCUGGAAAUAGCCCUCCAUGAGAUCGUACCCUAAACCGACACAGGUGGACUGGUAGAGAA